rnacentral:rRNA from 1 species
UACGGAGGAUCCGAGCGUUAUCCGGAUUUAUUGGGUUUAAAGGGUGCGCAGGCGGAGGAUUAAGUCGGCGGUGAAAUUUUGCAGCUCAACUGUAAAAGUGCCUUCGAAACUGGUUUCCUUGAGUGUAGAUGAAGUAGGCGGAAUUUGUGGUGUAGCGGUGAAAUGCAUAGAUAUCACGAGGAACUCCGAUUGCGCAGGCAGCUUACUAAACCAUAACUGACGCUCAGGCACGAAGGCGUGGGGAUCAAACAGGAUUAGAUACCCCGGUAAUCCCU